rnacentral:ncRNA from 3 species
AGUGACGCGCAUGAAUGGAU